ACUCCGUUAUUUGUGGCUGUCUUACACAAAAUUGCAAAUAAGACAAAUGUCUGUGAGCACACAUGGCCUACUGGCACUUGGCCUUGUUGCUCAAGGCUGGGACAACUUCCUUCCUGUCUGUACCUGAGAUCUCAGAAGCUGGCUGGUUCUACUACUGGAGGGAAAGAAUGCUUCCUAUGGAGGCACUUGGCCCAGUUCCACAGAGAUGAAAGUAGAUGUCUGUUUCCUGUGUUGACCGUGGUCAUCUCUACACUCCCAUACCAACACCGGAUCUGUACACAGCUGUAGUGAGAAGAAAUACUUUGGGUGAUGAUGACUUUUGGAGAUACUAUAGAAUGAGCCCGUCUUCACAAGGAGGUGCCACGUGGCCAUCACUGGAGUUGCAUGUAGCCUGGAAAUUCAGCCUGAUAGCCUAACCCUUGCCCAGGUCCCAGAACAUCACACCAUGAACCCAUGGAGAUGCCUUGACACUGGAGCUGAACUUCUCUGCCUGUUCCCACUUAGCCAUGGCCUCAGAGGUUCCUGCAUGUUCAUCCUAUGACAUAAUACUGCAGCAGAGAGAGAAAUACAAGAUCAAGGGCCCACAGCCAGCCCACAAAGCCAAGAAUGGAUUCCACUCUGUCUCUGAUGCCCCAGAUGUCACUUAUUUGGCCUGGCCCUCAAACAUGCAAGAGGUUAUAUGUACUUGUUCAUGAAAAUAUGCACAUGGGUAUGUGCAUUCAUUAUCGAGCAUAAACACUUAUGUACAUGUUUCUGUAUGCAGAAUCACUCACGUUCUGUUGUGUGGAACGUGCAUCCUGGUGUGCACAUGCAUAUACACAUGCAUGUGUGCAUAUGGUCUCAAGGUUUCCUCCUUUUCUGCAUCAGAUUGUCAGGCAUCAGCACUUUGAAUUCACAAACAAUCAUUUGGCUGAUUAAAUGGUUGUUAAAUGAUUGUUUAACUGAAUUUUCAUCCGAAGGCUCAGCUGUGUAGUAUUACUUCAUGUCACCCAGAACAGAACAUCCUUCUGAGGCAAUGCAUUAAAAACCCAGGCACCAAUGUCCACUGAUUCUGUAAUAAAACAUGGCUUGUUUGACAUCUGCCCAAGUUCAUGCUGUGUCCUUACCUCUUAAAACUAACCCCCCAGCCCUAAGGACAGUGAGCUUCUCCUGCUGAGCAAACAGUGCCUUACAACUAAUACUUAGCAUGUAAAAACAUGUAAAAAAGGGCCA
rnacentral:lncRNA from 1 species